rnacentral:misc_RNA from 1 species
CUUUGGAUGAGGUGCAUAAACCUGUUAUGGAUUUUGUCAUAUCACAGUGCCUCUAUGAUUUCUAUCUCAACCAACUCAAAGUAGUAAACAUUAGAGGCAUUGUUGGGACAAGAACUGAAUUGGAAUUCAUAAAACUUUUGCUUGCUCAUUCGCCAAUGUUGGAAUCAAUGACUAUUGUGAAAUACAGCGGCGAAAGGAUUUUAGAAUCAGUGUUGCUGCAACUUGAGCGGGCUUCAGAGCAUGUGAAGUUUAUAAGUU